rnacentral:rRNA from 1 species
UACGGAGGGUGCAAGCGUUGCUCGGAAUUACUGGGCGUAAAGCGCGUGUAGGCGGUCUCGUAUGUCUGAUGUGAAAUCCCCGGGCUCAACCCGGGAAGUGCAUUGGAAACUGCGAGACUGGAGUCCCGGAGAGGAAGGUGGAAUUCCAGGUGUAGCGGUGAAAUGCGUAGAUAUCUGGAAGAACACCAGUGGUGAAGGCGCUCUACUGGGCCGUAACUGACACUGAGGGACGAAAGCUAGGGGAGCGAAAGGG